rnacentral:rRNA from 1 species
UACAGAGGGUGCUAGCGUUGUUCGGAAUCAUUGGGCGUAAAGGGCGUGUAGGCGGUUUGUUAAGUCAUGUGUGAAAUCCCUCGGCUCAACCGGGGAAGGACGCAUGAAACUGGCAAGCUAGAGUACCAAAGAGGGGGGUGGAAUUCCUGGUGUAGCGGUGGAAUGCGCAGAUAUCAGGAGGAACACCGAUAGCGAAGGCAGCUCGCUGGGACGGUACUGACGCUGAGGUGCGAAAGCGUGGGGAGCGAACAGG